CGUAGGUGGUUAUUUAAGUGAGAUGUGAAAGCCCCGGGCUCAACCUGGGAACUGCAUCUUAUACUGGGUAACUGGAGUACAUGAGAGGGUAGUGGAAUUUCCGGUGUAGCGGUGAAAUGCGUAGAUAUCGGAAGGAACACCAGUGGCGGAGGCGGCUACCUGGCAUGAUACUGACACUGAGGCGCGAGAGCGUGGGAGCAAACA
rnacentral:rRNA from 1 species